CUUUCAGCAAUGCCUGCCCAGUGCGAUUAAAAGUCGUAAACGGCCGCCCUAGCGUGAGGGUGCUAAGGUAGCGAAAUUCCUUGCCUUUUAAUUGUAGGCCUGCAUGAAUGGUUUGACGAGGGCUUAACUGUCUCUAGUUUGUAAGUCUAAAUUGGAUUAAAGGUGAAGAUACCUUUAUAAAAAAGUCAGACAAGAAGACCCCGUGCAACUUUUAAAGUCAACUUGUUUAGGAGUUUCAGAUUUUUAGGUGGGGCGCCUAUUAAGUAAUAUUAACCUUAGUGUACGAUAAAACUUUCAAGUAUAGACCCGACAAUGUCGAUCAUAGGAGAAGUUACGCCGGGGAUAACAGGCUAAUCCACUAGUAGAGAACGUAUUGGCUAGUGGGAUUGGCACCUCGAUGUUGAAUCAGGGAUGAUACCUCUAAGGCGUAGAAGCUUUGGAAGUG
rnacentral:rRNA from 1 species